UGAGUAUUCUUCCUCCUCUGAUUCUUGGGUACUUGGUAGAUUAUUUUGUAAUUAUGUUCUCAGUUCACUAGGAGGAAUAACAGUGCUUCAAAAUGAAAGUCAGGAGCAUUUGUGAUUCAUUAUGAGAGCCAGGAAGAGGGAAGUCAGGAUGAGGAAUUAGGCACUAAGGUCUGACUCCUCCCAGAUUCUUACAUGAUCCAGUUCACUAUUUCUUCCCUUUGUGUGGCAGGAGGAACUGGAGCGGGACAAGAGGGUCACUUGGAUUGUGGAGUUCUUUGCCAAUUGGUCUAAUGACUGCCAAUCGUUUGCUCCUAUCUAUGCUGACCUCUCCCUCAAGUAAGUUAGUGCAAAGGGAGGGAUAAUGGAAAUUGAGAUGCAGUACCUUCCUUCUUAUUUUUGGCCUUGAC
rnacentral:lncRNA from 1 species